GAGGGCUGCGGAUCCCGCUAGCCCCGGGGGUGGGCAAGAGGGGCUCAGGCAGGGCCGAGCUCAUGGGGCCCAGCGCCAGGGCCUGCAGGUGACCCUGGAGGAAUCCACCCGCCUGUGCAGUGGCCUUCUGGGAGACCAGUGUGUACGGCACCAUGGACACGGCCUUCCCAGCUGGAACAUUUGUGAGGCUGUAAUUUAAGCUCAGGCAUACAAGCGGCCAGAAGGUGGACUGGAUGCAAUCUGAGCGCAAAGUCCAACCUAGCGGGAGUAAGCGGAAAUGCCUGGCCUGCGUCAAACUGGGCUCUUAGGAUAAGGCUCUAGGCUAGAUGGCCACUGCCUUAUAGAGACUCAGGCUCGGCGGGAGCCUGAGGAGCACCAGGGACCCAGUGCAGCAGGGCGCAGUGGGCAGCGACAGCCCCACAGCUACUGCUACCCUGCACAGUUCACCUUCUCCAAGGCCCGGCCC
rnacentral:lncRNA from 1 species